UUUGAGUUAGUUUAUUAAAACAUUAGUUUGUGGCACUAAAAAUGCUCCAUGGGAGUACUUUAAA
rnacentral:tRNA from 1 species